AUCACUUCUCAGUAUUUUGACUAAGACCAAGUGUAGUAUCUGUUCUUAUCAGUUUAAUAGAUAUAAGUUUGCUUCUGGACUCUCGAUUCUGU
rnacentral:snRNA from 1 species